UACAGAGGUCCCAAGCGUUGUUCGGAUUCACUGGGCGUAAAGGGUGCGUAGGUGGCGAGGUAAGUCGGAUGUGAAAGCUCGGAGCUCAACUCCGAAAUGGCAUUGGAAACUACCUUGCUCGAGGGUUGGAGGGGGGACUGGAAUUCUCGGUGUAGCGGUGAAAUGCGUAGAUAUCGAGAGGAACACCUGCGGCGAAGGCGGGUUGCUGGGCCGACACUGACGCUGAUGCGCGAAAGCCAGGGGAGCUAACGGG
rnacentral:rRNA from 1 species